rnacentral:rRNA from 1 species
ACUGAACGCUGGCGGCAGGCCUAACACAUGCAAGUCGAGCGAGCGGCGGACGGGUGAGUAAUGUCUGGGAAACUGCCUGAUGGAGGGGGAUAACUACUGGAAACGGUAGCUAAUACCGCAUACCAUCAGAUGUGCCCAGAUGGGCUUAGCUAGUAGGUGGGGUAACGGCUCACCUAGGCGACGAGCCCUAGCUGGUCUGAGAGGAUGACCAGCCACACUGAAACUGCGAAGCGGUCCAGGCUCCUACGGACGGCAGCAGUGGGGAAUAUUGGACAAUGGACGCGAGCCGAAUGCAGCAUUGCCGCUUGUGUGAAGAGGGCCGUCGGGUUGUAAAGCACUUUCAGCGGGCAGGCGGUACGCGCAGAAGAGGCACCGGCUAACUCCGUGCCAGCCGCCGCGGUAAUAC